CUCGCUGUAGCUCAGUUGGAAGAGCGCCGUGCUACGAACGCGGAGGCCAUGGGUUCGACUCCUGUCAGCGAGGCCA
rnacentral:tRNA from 1 species